UUCAUAGACUUUCCCAGAGGGUCCGUGCUAUACGGGAUCUUUAGGAUGUCCACACCUCUAUCAAGUAUAAAUGUAAAUUGGUUAAGUUUAGUGUUAGUUUAGGGUAAGGACGCCCCAAGGAAUCCGGAUUGCAGUGACCGUUCAUAGAGUGAGAGACUGGCACGGUAUUUGAGAGCUCGGCGGCAACACAACAUUCAUUCGUUUUUUACAAGUGACAGUAGCGAGUGUCUGCCCAAGAUAGUUUCCUUAUUCGAGACGAUGAAAAUAAUGACCAAGAUGUCCUUGAUCCAAUUGAGGAAUGUUAUGAGCCAGAGCAACCACUCAGCUUCACUGUAGGUGCUCAACCCACCCCCCUCAUUGUUCUCCCUCCACAAGAAAUUUCCACUACAACAUAUACCCCUGUGCCAUCUCAGUGUAACAUGAUCCAUCCAAGGCCUCAGCUGAAUGUCUAAAAUGUGAGAAAUGACCUGAGCCCUAGGACCAUGCCCCAGGAAUACCUGACAUGAUGACUCCUUGCUGUCCCC